rnacentral:rRNA from 1 species
UACAGGGGGGGGCAAGCGUUGUUCGGAAUUACUGGGCGUAAAGGGCUCGUAGGCGGCCAACUAAGUCACACGUGAAAUCCCCAGGCUUAACCUGGGAACUGCGUGUGAUACUGGAUGGCUUGAAUCCGGGAGAGGGAUGCGGAAUUCCAGGUGUAGCGGUGAAAUGCGUAGAUAUCUGGAGGAACACCGGUGGCGAAGGCGGCAUCCUGGACCGGUAUUGACGCUGAUGAGCGAAAGCCAGGGGAGCAAAACGGGG